GACAUGUACGGAAUCCUUUAGAGAUAGAGGAGUGCUCGAAAGAGAACCGUAACACAGGUGCUGCAUGGCUGUCGUCAGCUCGUGUCGUGAGAUGUUGGGUUAAGUCCCGCAACGAGCGCAACCCUUGUCAUUAGUUGCUACAUUUAGUUGGGCACUCUAAUGAGACUGCCGGUGACAAACCGGAGGAAGGUGGGGAUGACGUCAAGUCCUCAUGGCCCUUAUAGGUGGGGCUACACACGUCAUACAAUGGAUGGUACAAAGGGUCGCCAACCCGCGAGGGGGAGCCAAUCCCAUAAAGCCAUUCGUAGUCCGGAUCGCAGUCUGCAACUCGACUGCGUGAAGUCGGAAUCGCUAGUAAUCGUGGAUCAGAAUGUCACGGUGAAUACGUUCCCGGGUCUU
rnacentral:rRNA from 1 species